rnacentral:lncRNA from 1 species
UUGCCUGCAGAUCAAACCUGCCUAAAUGAACUGAAAAACUUCAUUUAGAACUUCGUAAACAAAAAAGUCAAUAUUUGGAAAUAUGCUAUUUGUUGAGCUAUUAUGGGUUUAAUAAUUGUUAAUAAAAAUAAUAACACUGGGAUUUAGAUAUAUCUUUAAAAUUUUUAUUAUUUAGUCAAAAAGUGUUUUAAAAUUAACUUUUCUAUUUUAAUCUCUGAAUUACGUUUUCCCGGCAGGUGGGCAUGCCCCAGUUGCUAAAUUACCAGUUAUUAGGGUCUCUUGCCAAUUAGAUAUUUCUAAAUGUGGGAUAUUUUUACAAACCACUAAGGGGUGAGCCGUUAGACCAGAGCUGCCCAUGUCUUCAUGAAAUGAGUAUCACUGGCUCCACCACACUGAGAGCACAAGCAACAUCAAGUCUAUUUCCUUUUUCCCAAUAGAAAUUAAAAUUGCUGAAAUCCCCCCAUGUCUGAUCAGAAGAAAAUCCUACGAUACUCUCUUGGAGCUCCUUCAAUCCCUUUGCUCAUCCCCAAACUGUGGUGGCUUCUCAUCCAACAAAGAAGUCCAUCCACUUUCUCUUCUACCCGGGGGAGAACUUUAUGUGUCUUAAGGCCUGCUGUUGUCUGGUGGUCACUGUUCCUUGUUGCCACACCCUGUCCCUCUUGUGUGUCCAACUGACUGUCCAGAGCUGCAGGGAAGUCACUCUCAACCAAUGGCUGCCACAGGUCAUCCUGAGCUUUCAAAGGAGGUCACAUCUGUGGGUGACUCCACUUCACCCAGGGUGCCUUCUCAGGGUUCCCUGGACAUCACUCAGUGCCCAAGCAGCUAAGUUCUCCUGUCCAGAGAUGCUGUGCUUGAUCUGAUUAGAGGGUCAGCCCAUCAAAGAAUAUGCAACUACUGUCACUCUUUCCAGUCUCAGAAAUUCAAGAAGGCUGGGGGAGGCGUUGGCCAGCCUCCUUUCUUUCCCAACUCUCAAGACACGGCGUGCUCAUCCCACAGCCUUCAUCAGAAAACAGAGCUUGCUUGCCUUUGAGAAGGGCCCACAUUAUUUUUAAUGGGAAAUACUUUCUCUGCUUCCAUGAUCAGUCAUCUUAAGAGCCUAGGAUAAUCCAAGGAAAUCUCUGGCAUCUAUCUUGCUAAAGCAACAAAUAAAUAACCACCACUACUACCACCAACAACACAAUUCAAAACAGAGUUAAAUCUCAGUGGGUCACCCCCCACCUUUAUACCAUUAUGUAGCAUAAGAACCUU